rnacentral:lncRNA from 1 species
UUCCGAAGCAAUUGGGACUUUUUUUCCACUAAUAAUUAUUUAAAUUCAAAUAUAAAUCAUAUAAAUUUAUUAGAUUAAAUUAUAAUUUCAAAUUUGAAUUUAAAAUAUAAAUUUAAAAUUCAAAUUUUAGAAUUUUAGAAUUUAAUUUAAUAGUUCUAAAUUUAAGUUUUUACUUUGACUUUGAAUUUGAAUUGUAAAUUCAAAAUUUAAUUAAAAAAUUUGUAAUUAAAAUUUGAAUAACAAAUUUAAAUUUUAAUAAAAAAAUGAUUUUUUUUUAAUUUCAAUUUGGACAUGAUUUGGAUU